rnacentral:rRNA from 1 species
GAAUUUAAGCAUAUCAAUAAGCGGAGGAAAAGAAACCAACAGGGAUUGCCCCAGUAACGGCGAGUGAAGCGGCAACAGCUCAAAUUUGAAAUCUGGCCCCAGGCCCGAGUUGUAAUUUGCAGAGGAUGCUUUUGGCGCGGUGCCUUCCGAGUUCCCUGGAACGGGACGCCAUAGAGGGUGAGAGCCCCGUACGGUUGGACACCAAGCCUUUGUAAAGCUCCUUCGACGAGUCGAGUAGUUUGGGAAUGCUGCUCUAAAUGGGAGGUACAUUUCUUCUAAAGCUAAAUAUUGGCCAGAGACCGAUAGCGCACAAGUAGAGUGAUCGAAAGAUGAAAAGCACUUUGAAAAGAGGGUUAAACAGCACGUGAAAUUGUUAAAAGGGAAGCGCUUGUGACCAGACUUGCGUCCGGUGAAUCACCCAGCUCUCGCGGCUGGGGCACUUCGCCGGCACAGGCCAGCAUCAGCUUGCCGUCGGGGACAAAAGCUUCAGGAACGUGGCUCCUCUCGGGGAGUGUUAUAGCCUGUUGCAUAAUACCCUUCGGCGGGCUGAGGUACGCGCUCCGCAAGGAUGCUGGCGUAAUGGUCAUCAGCGACCCGUCUUGAAAACACGGAA